GCUGUCGGAUCUUUCCCCUGGGAUCUGGAAGCUUCUUUGCUUGUCCCUGUAGCUUUGAAACCGCAAAAGGACAGGGCAAGGGCACUGGUCUGAACCUGACCUGUGUGCCGUGACCCAAUGAGCUCUCUCAAUCUUCACCCGCCCUGCUUCAGCCUCUAAGCAAAGGAAUUGCAGCAGCCAGUUCUCAAAAUAACUCACUGGCUGACCGCCUUCCGUUCCCUCCAGCAGACCAGCGAUGUGAACAUUCUUCCUCCUGCCCCGAUUCUCAAGGUCGUCAACAUUUUCAGUUAAGGCUUUCAAGAUGCUGCUCAUGUCUUUGGAGCACGGCUGAGAAGGGUCAAACCUGCUGCUAAACUUUUCUUCAAUCGUGGCUUCAAUAAUUUCUUGCAACAUUGUGAACUCGGCGACCAGGGCCUGCCAAGAAGGAAUGCCUUGGGAAGCAGGCCUAUAUCAAGGAAAUGGAACUGAAGAAAUAUGUGAAAAUCAUUCACCAAUCUAGUAAGGGACUGGGGAGAUGUUGUCUUUGUCAGUGCUUAUAGCAAUAACAUGAAGAGUUUAAGUGCAUAACCAUAGAAACAGAAUGAUUAAGAAAUCUGGAGAUGGGGCUAAGUACAUCAUCCUGGAUCUAUGUUCGAUAAUGCUUUAGAUUCUGAUGAAUUGUGGUAAUAUGUGUGAAAUGUAGAGAUCAAAGGUGGAAUUUUAUGAGUUUCAAAUGAAUGUAUCUUGUAAUCAUGCUGGAUUGUGGAGUGCAAUACACUCAAGUUCUCAGAGUGAAAUGUGAACUGUAAA